GUCCACGCUGUAAACGAUGAUCACUGGAUAUGGGCAUUGCUUAGCAAAGUCUGUGUCGAAGCUAACGCGUUAAGUGAUACGCCUGGGGAGUACGGUCGCAAGAUUAAAACUCAAAGAAAUUGACGGGGGUCCGCACAAGCGGUGGAACAUGUGGUUUAAUUCGACACUACGCGAGGAACCUUACCUAGGCUUGACAUGUAACUGCUACUGGUAGAAACACUGGGUUCUGUAGAAAUACAGACGGUUACACAGGUGCUGCAUGGCUGUCGU
rnacentral:rRNA from 1 species